ensembl:snRNA U6 U6 spliceosomal RNA
AUGCCCACUUUGGCACCAUGUAUACUAAAACUAGAACUAUGCAGGAAAGAUUAGCACGACCUCUGUGCAAAGACGACACAAACUUACGAAGAAUUCUUCUAUUUUGUU